rnacentral:rRNA from 1 species
UGCCAGCAGCCGCGGUAAUACGAAUGGAGCAAGCGUUGUUCGGAAUCACUGGGCGUAAAGCGUACGUAGGCGGACUAACAAGUCAGAAGUGAAAGCCCAGGGCUCAACCUUGGAACGGCUUUUGAAACUGUUAGUCUAGAGUCCCGGAGAGGUUAGGGGAAUUCCGAGUGUAGCAGUGAAAUGCGCAGAUAUUCGGAGGAACACCAGUGGCGUAGGCGCCUAACUGGACGGGAACUGACGCUGAGGUACGAAAGCGUGGGGAGCAAACAGGAUUAGAUA